CGCUCAGACAGCCGAGAGAUGCCAGAUUGUUAACCUAAAGUGGUAAAACUCAGUGGCCCUUUGUCGUCUGACAUCUCUCUCGUUUCUCCCUGUCUAACCUAAGUCUCCUGUGCUCCAGGUCUGCCUCCGCCUUGGGUCCCGUCCCAAGUGGCUCUCCCAAGCCUUGACGUCGUCAGUCAGGUCUCCCGUAAAUUGAUCUUCUGGAACCCGCUCCUCCAUCUGGUUCUCUUGGCUGUCAACGGAUCACCUUCACGCCGCUGCUGCUCGGAUCCCUCUCCGCUCCGCCGGACCGCCCACCUGCCUCUCAGUCAUCUGCGGGAGGCUGCCUCUGUGCCCGUCUUUCCACGCCACUCCCCCCGGCUCAGUUCCUGCGCUACGCGAUUUCACUCGCUUCCUCCGUACAGUCCCCUCAAACAAUCCACGUUGAUGCUCCUUGUCUUGCACGUUUAACAAUAAACUUCUAAACCUGC